UAGCCAAAACAUGGAGGCUCCACCACCACAACUUUGAGAAAGUUGUUUGCCACCACCACAACUUUGCCACCACCAAAGAGGAAAGUGCAGCCCCAUUAACUUUGAGAAAGUUGGGAUGUGAGGUGGAAUCAACUUUGAGAAAGUUGGGAUGUGAGGUGGAAUCAACAAAUGGAGGCUAUAAAUAUGUGCAUCGCAGCAACUUGAAGAGCAUCCCAAAAUUCACAAAAGAAGUCUUGUGAAAGAAAGCAUCCCAAAAUUCACAAAAGAAGUCUUGUGAAAGAAGUGCUAGAGAGUGAGAAAAUAUUGUGAGAGAAAACUUCAGUGUGGAAGUUAAACACGAGUGAUAAAAGUGAGUCGAGAGAUAGCCUCUGUGUAGGCAAGAUACAAAAUACAGUGUGGUAUUGUUGUACUCCUCAUUUUGUGAGAUUCUCUAAUAUAUUGGGGUGGGUCCGUGGACGUAGGCAGUUUGGCCGAACCACGUUAAAUAUCGGUGUCAUUAUUUUUCCCGUCUUAGAUAAUUUAUAUCUUUGAUAUUGCUUUC